ACAGCUCGAGACGCGUUCCUCAGCAGUCCCGUCCCGUUCAUGAUUUGUACAUAGAGCCCCGGCCGGCAAUAAUAGACAAAAUUGUUUUUCCUUCAUGAUCACCAUCAACCUCCUCGAAACCAAAGAAAGAAAAAAGAAAGCCUCCACAAUAUUUGAAAAGUUUCUCCUGGACAGUCUUUACCAUCUGCAUUCAUGUCUGGAUCCCACACUCAGUAUAAUUUGUUGGAGGGAAGAAUAAAAAAAGUCUGCAACAGAACCUCAGAGACAAUUUCACACAUCUGUUCCUGCAGGGAAGGGUGUGGAUUUUGGCUCCAUUCAAACAAUAUGACAUCAAAAAUAAAAUGACAAGAAAGAAGAGAAUUUUGUCUCAUUUUGAUUAUAAAUGCCAUAAAUGAAAGUUGGGUUCCAGAGAAGACAUCUCACUAUAUCAAACCUAGCCAAGCUAAACAAAUAAACAAAUAAAACAAACAAGCAAGCAAAUAAACACAACUUCAAAACAAAUCACAAAACUGAAGACAAAUGUGGGAUCUCAUCCUGCUGAGAUUUUUACCUCAGAUGCUUUUACAGAGGGUUUUGACCGCAGAUCAUGGUGGACAGUAUACUGAGAGGGCACUUCCCAAGAACAGUGGUUUCUUGGGAUCCAGUAUGCUAAUAGGACUAUCCUAUAUUUGGUCAAGUUUCCAGUUGUUUUUCUCCACUGGUUCAGGACUUUUGUCUUAUAAGGUCAUGUUCUGAGUUCACGUUCGUGAUUGGACCUUUGUCCUCACAAGCCUGUCGGAGUUUGCCCCGCCCAGGGGUCUUUGGAAUCUAGUACGUGUAACCUGCAGUUUUCAAGUUGGUUAUUUUCGUUAUUAAAGUUUUUAUUUUCUGGGCUUGUCCAUCACUUCCGUUCCUCAUUUUUUAGCCAGCAUCUCCUGGUGAAGACAAGCAAGGAGAUCACACUGAGCUUCGAAGCUCCAUAAAAAAAAGCCGCACAUUUCCACAUUUUAGUUAGCGGCAAGGAAUUAGGGAACAGAAUCUGCCUCAAGGGAGGGACUAGUUAUGAAAGUGAAGUAGAAAAUAUACUGAUCUGAGGAAGUCCUGAGAAAGUUUGGCCUGACCAAAUGUCUUGGUAAGGGAUGAGUUUGUUGAGUUGUAGUCUCACAGACAUUAGUAAAUUGUAAUAAAAAAAUUGAAAAAUAUUGAAACUCAGGACACUAACUGUAUAAAGAUUUUCUGAACAAAAAGACAUUAUUUUAAACAGAGCAUUAGUGGUUGUGUUGGGUUUGCAUGGCAUGAUUUGGGUAGCGGGGGACCACAGAGGUGGCUUCUGUGAGAAGCUACCAGAAGCUUCUGCCAUGUCUGGCAGAGACAGUCCCUGAUGGCUCUGAAGAUGGACAUGCUGCUGGCCAAAGCUGGUCUAAUUAAAGAUGAUGGUAACACCUCUGGGAUAACAUAUUUAAGAAGAAAAUAAAAACAAAGUGGAGUACAGUGUUAAUUCCAGCUAGACAAGAUGAGGAGGUGAGAAAUGUGAGGGAAAACAACAUGGAGACACCAAGGUCAGUGGAGAAGGACAGGGAGGAGCUGCUCCAGGCACCAGAGCCGAGAUUCCUCUGCAGGCUGUGGUGAGACCAUGCUGAAGCAGCUGUGCCCCUGCAGCCCAUGGGUCCACAGGGAAUGCAGAGAUCCACCUGCAGCCCAUGGAGGAGGUGCCCAUGCUGGAGUGGGUGGAUGGCUGGAGGAGGCUGUGAUGCAGUGGGAGACCCAGUGGAGAGAGGGCCCUUGCUUCCAGGCUGGAGCAGCCUGACCUUGGAGGACUGCACCCCGCUGAAAGAGAGAGACCCAUGCCACAGCAGUUUUGGGAGGACUGUUAGCCAAUGGGAGGAAAUCAUGUUGCUGCAGUUUUGGGAGAACUGCUGCUUGUGAGAUUGGAACCACACUGGAAAAGGAAGGGACCCCACGGCCUCAUAGGGGAAGGACUCCUCUUCCUGAGCAGUGGAAGAAUGCCUUUGGUGACAAAAUGACCAAACUUCUCAUGCCUAGUCCCCUGUGCUGUCGGUGGGAAGGAGGGGUGGCUGGGAUGAAAAACAUGUUUUAAGAACUUAUUUUACUUCUCAUUAACCUCCUCUGAUUUGUUAGUAAUAAAUUCACUAUGUACUUCUGAGCUGA